GAGUCCGUAGCUCAAUAGGUAGAGCAUCCGUCUUUUAAACGGGUUUAUACGGGUUCAAGGCCCGUCGUACUCA
rnacentral:tRNA from 2 species